CUGAAGCCCUGGUGCUUGCACCGGGUGGAUGAGUGGCGAACGGGUGAGUACACGUGAGUAACCUGCCCCUGACUUCGGGAUAAGCCCGGGAAACUGGGUCUAAUACCGGAUACGACUGCCGGACGCAUGUCUGGUGGUGGAAAGUUUUUUCGGUUGGGGAUGGGCUCGCGGCCUAUCAGUUUGUUGGUGAGGUAAUGGCUCACCAAGACGACGACGGGUAGCCGGCCUGAGAGGCGA
rnacentral:rRNA from 1 species